GGCAUGCACUAGGAUGAGUGUGUGGGGGUGGGUAGAGAUGCACACGGGAUUGGAGGCGCCUGUGGGCCAUUUGGAGGGAUCUACAGGUGGGGCAUCCCUAGUAGCUCACAGGUGGGCUUCCUGGUGGUGUGUGCAAAGUAAUUCGUAGGAUCUGUAGCACGUUUAUGCCCUCAAGACCCUAGCUUCUCUUCUCCCAGCCUCUCCCCGUUCCCCAGUCAUGUAGCACACCUCUGAUUUCUGGAUGGGGUAAGGAAGAGGUUAAUCUCUUUGGCACCAUUCCACACAGCUGGGGAAGCCACGUGCUUACUCACAGGCUCUCACCUUCCCCAUGGGAGAAACCACAGGCUGAGAAGGUCUCUCCAGGCGCUCAACUGUGCUACCUUUGGGGAGGUGUAAUGAGAAUAGGGUGAAAUGGUUUCUCUUACCCUUUCCAGUGUGGCCAAUCUUAGCUUUCCUUUCCCCUUCCUUCCUUCCUUCCUUCCUUCCUCCCUUCCUCCCUCCCUCCCUCCCUCCCUCCCUCCCUCCCUCCCUCUCCAUUCAUUCAUUCAUUCUUUCUUUCUUUCUUUCUUUCUUUCUUUCCCCUCCAGUGGUGUGCUGGAACUUCUGUGUUGGACCCCAGAUUUCCACAAAGGCACUCUUGUUUGUGGGUGUUACGACUUUGUUAAAUUAACAGUUGUUAAGCGGAGCAUGGAGGGCCAACUAGCUGGUACCUUAUCCUUAGAACUUUCAAGCAACUCUGUCCCAAACCACUUUAUUUACUCUCUGGAGAGCUAUUUGGGACCAUGCUCACGGUUAUCACGUGAUCUAGCAGAAGGGCGCAGGCUCCAUGAACUCGAGGAAGGGAACCAGAGGAAAGUGACAGUUUGCGGAUUUCUCCCCCCAUGGAUCGUUGUGAGGAUCCAAAGAGCAUAUGGCUCAAGGGCAGAUCAUAAUAAUGUUAACGGUGGCGAGGUAUGCCUGCUUUUUCAACGUAUGAACGCAUUUCAAGAUACUCACCAUGGUCGCCUGGUUUCAGAGUCGCUGUAGCCUCUGACAGUCGCAGAUUCUUCCUGCACGUACCGAUUCCAGGAGGACCCAGGAAACCCUUCCUCGUCAGGGCUGUGCAACGGGGUCGCAAGAGCUGGGAGCCCCUGGCCCCGGCCACCAAUGGCCAGAAACCUUACACACGUACAUACCCCUCCUGGGACGCCCUGGCUGCUCACUGAGCUGUGAGAAGUAUCAGCAGGUGAGCUGGGGGGCUCAGGGCCCUGGGAGAUUCUCUUGCGGGGGGCGGCGGGGUGUUGAGGGAGCCAGAGGGGGACCUGGGCCACAGCAUCCACCCAUCAUCCCACGGCCCGGGGCAGUUACCUGCACCGACACAGACAUGCACACGGGCAUCUGUACAGGGACCUGGGACGUGCGUGAGACCUUUCCGUGCGUGUGACGAUAGAGGCACGCGCGCGAGCUGCCUCCCAUGUCACUGAUGCCAGGAGCCCUUCUUUACGGAACCCAGAUGCGCACUCGUGCCAACGCUCGCCCGCGCGCGCACGUCGACAAGCCUGCGCCUACCAAGGCGUGUCUAAGGCUAAGACACAGAUCUCAGUCUUAAGGCCUACGCCACGUGGCUUGUUACUGACGUUCAUUAACGCCAGCCCGUCUUGUGACCCCUACCUGCGCGACCCCGACAUCCACGUGACACGUAUGCGCGUGGACACGUACAUGGGUAGUGAAAGCGCCCGUCUGAGCCUUUCUCGUCCACCCUCCAGGCUGGAGCCCCUUGGCCAGCAGGGACAGUUCCGGUGAAAUUCUCUGACCCUCCACCGGGCAGAGAGUAGAUGUAUCAUUAAAGCUCGUGUAAAUGA